rnacentral:rRNA from 1 species
UACGUAGGGUACGAGCGUUGUCCGGAAUUAUUGGGCGUAAAGAGCUCGUAGGUGGUUGGUCACGUCUGCUGUGGAAACGCAACGCUUAACGUUGCGCGGGCAGUGGGUACGGGCUGACUAGAGUGCAGUAGGGGAGUCUGGAAUUCCUGGUGUAGCGGUGAAAUGCGCAGAUAUCAGGAGGAACACCGGUGGCGAAGGCGGGACUCUGGGCUGUGACUGACACUGAGGAGCGAAAGCAUGGGGAGCGAAC